rnacentral:rRNA from 1 species
UACGUAGGCAGCAAGCGUUGUUCGGAAUUACUGGGCGUAAAGAGUGUGUAGGCGGUGCUCUAAGUCUGUUGUGAAAUCUCCCGGCUUAACCGGGAGGGUGCAGCGGAAACUGGUGUGCUCGAGGGUGGGAGAGGUAAGCGGAAUUCCUGGUGUAGCGGUGAAAUGCGUAGAUAUCAGGAGGAACACCUGUGGUGUAGACAGCUUACUGGACCACUUCUGACGCUGAGACACGAAAGCGUGGGUAGCAAACAGG